rnacentral:lncRNA from 1 species
GUCCAUGGCAAUAUCCCUCAGAUUGGCAACAUUACCCGGUGAUUGGACUGGGUAAACAAGCUUUGGAUUGUACUUCUUCAUCACAUCAGAUGUUACUUGGACACCUCCCCAAUACCCAAGUAAAGCAUGCCACAUGUAAACGUACCUGUAGUUUCAUGUACCAUUUUGCUCAGCAAAAAAAAAAAAGAAUGAAUGAAGAUUUAGCUAUCAUAGGACAAGUAUUUUGAUAAAAAUCAAUUACUUGACUCCAUGUUUUUCUUUGAUCCUCUUGACAAGGUCCCCAAGAUUCUUGCAGGUCUCUCCCCUGAACUUGUGAUUCUCCUUCAGAUCAGUCAGCCUCUGCGCAAACCUGUCAUAAUUACAACGCAAAUCAGGAAACAACACAGUGCACACCUUUAUGGGUUAC